UGACGAGUCCCAAAUAGGACGAAACGCACGUC
rfam:Schistosoma rodhaini strain Burundi genome assembly, scaffold: SROB_scaffold0002697